rnacentral:tRNA from 1 species
GGUUUGGUGGUCUAGUAGUAUGAUUCACCCUUAGGGCCUCCUCCGUGGCUUGGUUGGGUGAGGUCCCGGGUUCAAUUCCCGGCCAGACCC